GAUGAACGCUGGCGGCGUGCCUAAUACAUGCAAGUCGAGCGAACAGACGAGGAGCUUGCUCCUCUGACGUUAGCGGCGGACGGGUGAGUAACACGUGGAUAACCUACCUAUAAGACUGGGAUAACUUCGGGAAACCGGAGCUAAUACCGGAUAAUAUCUUGAACCGCAUGGUUCAAUAGUGAAAGACGGUUUUGCUGUCACUUAUAGCUGGAUCCGCGCCGCAUUAGCUAGUUGGUAAGGUAACGGCUUACCAAGGCAACGAUGCGUAGCCGACCUGAGAGGGUGAUCGGCCACACGGGAACUGAGACACGGUCCAGACUCCUACGGGAGGCAGCAGUAGGGAAUCUUCCGCAAUGGGCGAAAGCCUGACGGAGCAACGCCGCGUGAGUGAUGAAGGUCUUCGGAUCGUAAAACUCUGUUAUUAGGGAAGAACAAAUGUGUAAGUAAAUAUGCACGUCUUGACGGUACCGAAUCAGAAAGCAACGGCUAACUACGUG
rnacentral:rRNA from 1 species